GACGAACGCUGGCGGCGUGCUUAACACAUGCAAGUCGAACGGAAAGGCCCUGCUUUUGUGGGGUGCUCGAGUGGCGAACGGGUGAGUAACACGUGAGUAACCUGCCCUUGACUUUGGGAUAACUUCAGGAAACUGGGGCUAAUACCGGAUAGGAGCUCCUGCUGCAUGGUGGGGGUUGGAAAGUUUCGGCGGUUGGGGAUGGACUCGCGGCUUAUCAGCUUGUUGGUGGGGUAGUGGCUUACCAAGGCUUUGACGGGUAGCCGGCCUGAGAGGGUGACCGGCCACAUUGGGACUGAGAUACGGCCCAGACUCCUACGGGAGGCAGCAGUGGGGAAUAUUGAACAAUGGGCGGAAGCCUGAUGAAGCAACGCCGCGUGCGGGAUGACGGCCUUAGGGUUGUAAACCGCUUUCGCCUGUGACGAAGCGUGAGUGACGGUAAUGUGUAAAGAAGCACCGGCUAACUACGUG
rnacentral:rRNA from 1 species